UCCCCGUUACCGAGGCAGUUUGAUUAGAAAAAUACAACUAAUCACAAGGGUUGCGCUCGUUAAUGGACUUAACCAAACAUCUCACGACACGAGCUGACGACGGCCAUGCAACAUCUGUCUCAGGGUUCCAAAAGGCACACUCUACUUUCGUAGUGCUUCCCUGGAUGUCAAGCCCUGGUAAGGUUCUUCGUUUAACAUCGAAUUAAAGAACAUGAUCCACCGCUUGUGCGGGUCCCCGUCAAUUCCUUUAUGUUUUAAUCUUGCGAUCGUACUCCACAGGCGGGAUACUUAACGCGUUAGCUUCGCUACUGAAGGGGUCGAUACCUCCAACAGCUAGUAUCCAUCGUUUACGGCGUGGACUAC
rnacentral:misc_RNA from 1 species